rnacentral:misc_RNA from 1 species
AUUUAACAUCGUAUCGUAAAGGCCAUCAGCUCUAACGGCAAUAGAGUGAAGCAGGACUUGGACUUGGCUAACUCCCUUUUAACUCUAGUCCUUUCUAACUCUUUGUUUAAUAGGUACGUAGUCACUCAACUAGCUAGAGGAGGUACGUAGUCGCUAGACCUAGGAUAGGAAUGGAGUUGGCUUGUUAGGGCUAGGCUGUGCUGUUGACUUCCUUAUUGGUGCGCUGCGUUAUCGUCUGCUCAUUCACCUAUCUAAUUCUAAUGGAGAUUCCUUCCUACGUUCCGGCUCAGUCCAGCCAGUCUUCUAUUCUCUUCCUAAUAUCCAUCUUUUAAGCUGGUCUAAGCCAUCUGCGCUUUCCACUCCGUAAGCAUUUCUUAAGGACGGUACAUCUCAUUCGACUCGGUAAGAAGAUUCUCUCUUUACCUAUAAGUAAGUCAUUAUUGACUGCAUCAUCCCCCUGAAGCACAUAAAUUUUGAAUAUUAUAGUUUGAACUUAAUUAUAUUUUUCUAAUCUAUGCAAUUGGUGAAACUAAAGCAUUCCUAAUUGAAGAAAAAUUCAAGAUGUUAUAUUCAUCAAGGCAAAAUACUGUUAAGAGAUUUGGUUUUAGAGUUUUGACACUAGAAUGUUGAAAUUAAUGUUGCAGUGCAAUAUUGAAAUAAUUAAAUCAAAUACAGAUUUUUUUUUUCAUUGCGAAGUAAGUUCCGAACAUUUUGUUUCCUACCUUCCUAAAGUGCCAUAUCUAUGUGUUGUUUCGGACGUCCCCUUAUGUGUCAAUGUUAUGUGGGUUUAAAUGUUUAUUCGUUGACAAAGUUCUGAUCUAUUUAUUCACAUGACUAUUACUUCUCCCUACUUAAGUGAUCGGAUUGGCAGUUACGAGGAGAAUCAUUCAAACAGAAACAGUAAUACCAGUUGGAAAUGUUUGUCUUAAUUUGAGAAGUAUUGAUAUUGCUAUAGGGGCAAUUGUUACGGUUUCAGCAUGAUUUUUUUGUUUUAUAAACGUUUAAAAUAAAUUGACGUUCUCCUUUCAUUAUAUGCAAAUAUGUAGGUAAAUAAAUUGACAUUCUCCUUUCAUUAUAUGGAAAUAUGUAGGUAUAUAUAAAAGUUAAAUUUAUUACUCAAAGUUCCAGCAAUGGAAGGUUUGGUUUACACUGUUGAGGAAUUGAUGCAAAAAAUUUUCCUAUUUGGUUUUUAGAAUCCAGAAUCAUUUUUUUGUGCCUUGUGAUUUUUUAUGGUCAUGUAUCAUUUGAAUUUUUAAAGAGAAAGAUAACUUAUACCAAGAGUAUGUGUUCGCU